rnacentral:misc_RNA from 1 species
AGAUAAGUCAGGAUUGGCGUGUCAGAAGAAAAUAGACUUAAAUGACAGUGUAUCUAUACUGAAAGUAUGUGUAAUAUACUGCAGAGACUCAAGCUUCUGAACUCUCUGUAAAACAUGGAUAUCCACAUACCAAAGUUUGGUGCAUUUGGAUGAAAGACAAAUAAUUGGGAUUUUUGAGAGUAUUUCAGUAGAGUUCCUCUGCGCUUAGAUAAACAGUGUUACUUGUACCAUGAAAAGGACAUCUUAUAUUGAUAAUUGUUGGUAAAUAGUUUCAGCGUAAUUACAAUUAAACAAAUCAAAUACUCCUUUUGUGAGAUGAAUUAAACGCACAGUAAUACAAGUCAUAUUUUUUACGAAUUACUUUUUUGAUGUGAAAACCCUUAAACUGUCCUCAACAUUAUAUGAUGCUUCUAGAAAUAUGUUAAUUUUUUUUGUUAUGUUUUCGUCGUUAUUUGUCUCGUAAUAAUUUAUUAAAAUUCAAUAAAAUGUGAUUUUG